rnacentral:lncRNA from 1 species
UAAUCCCAGAAAAAUAAUUAAAAUGGCCUUAUUACAACCCAAAACCAAAUAAUAAUAUUAAUAAGAUAAAACUUAUAAAGAAAUAAAUCGGCUACUUAUUGCAAUUAAAAGAAACAGAAAUAGUAGUGUGGCCAUCUCCGAGUCCCUCGCAGCUCCAAACCAUCUAAGCUUAGGGAUUACCUGCACAGUUAGAAACGGGGUGAGUUUACGAAAACUCAGUGUGUAAUCCCAAUAACAAACAAACAGUAAAUAACACGGUAUCAGUACAAUCUAGGCCAAAGCCCUAUUUAGUCUUGACAUAUACUAGCCUUUCCAUAAAUCAUAUCAGUAGGCCGAAGCCUUUUCAUAAAUCAUAUCACUGGGCCGAAGCCUUUACUAUAAACGGUAUGGCCCUUAGGCCCAUUUCAAUAUCACAUGUAAUGUCAAUGGAUGUAUGCAAGCCCAUUUCAAUAUCACAUGUAAUGUCAAUGAAUGUAUGCAAGCCCAUUUGGGGAGACUACUCGACCCACCAUCCGUUACUCUCCACCCGUACCAACCAAGCUCUCCAUGUGGGGAAUAGCUCAACCCACCCAACCAAACUCUCCACUGGCAGCAUAGCUUCUUUAUCAUAUAAGUGGAGGCCUAGCCUCUUUUAAUAACUGGGGCAAAGCCCUUUCUGAUAAACUAGGGCAAAACCCUUUUCGGUAAACUGGGGCAGAGCCCUUUCAGCACUUCCUCCAUCAAUAUAACCCAUAUCCCAUGCAAUAUUUCAUGUAUGCAGAAUGUCAUGCCCAUAUUUGAAUCAAACAAUCACAGUCAAGUCAUUCAUAUCACCAACAUAUAUUCACAAUCAAAUCCGUCAACCACACAGUCCAAGUUAGUCACUUGCCCACAAGGGCAAAACAGUCAUUUUUCAUAUUAUAAGGGUAUUUUCGUAAUUUUACCAAAAAUUAGGGUUUUCCAUGUUCAUUAUAAUUUUCAAUAUUUCCGAGUGUUUAAACAAUGAUCUUUAACCCACUAAUCAAAUUCGGGCUUUUGGGCCCAAAACCCCUAAUGGGCCCUAUGAAUGCUGAUUUAGCCCACUAAGCCUGCUUAACCCAAAUUUUACAACAAUACUAACCGUGUUAACAUGCAACUUUUCCAAAUUCCAUUUUCUAUCAAUUUUACCCAAAUGGGCCCAAAAGCCCAUUUGGCCCAAUUCUUGCCCAUUGAGGCCCAACUUACCAUCGUGCACAAAAUUGAGUUCUUACCCGUUCCAUCGCUCCAAACACCGAUCUUAUCGUAUUUAUCGCAUCUAUACCCACACGCAACAUUACAAGUUCCCGAAAUGCCGGUAUUUUAGCAUUUUGGCUUCUCAACAGAUAUUAAUCUAAGCUACUACGAGGGUUAGUACACACCUAUUACGGGUUGAAGUUGAAACGUUUCCAUAAUCAAUCACCUGAUAGGAGACUGGAGUUAAUCCACGCUCCGAGCACUCUUAGCCGAUGCCCAACCCAAACGAGCACGCCAUACAGCGAAAGGGAUCAGCCAAG